GUAGGUGGCAAGCGUUGUCCGGGAAUUAUUGGGGCGUAAAGCGCGCGCAGGCGGUUCUUUAAGUCUGAUGUGAAAGCCCACGGGCUCAACCGUGGAGGGUCAUUGGAAACUGGAGAACUUGAGUACAGAAGAGGAAAGCGGAAUUCCACGUGUAGCGGUGAAAUGCGUAGAGAUGUGGAGGAACACCAGUGGCGAAGGCGACUUUCUGGUCUGUAACUGACGCUGAGGCGCGAAAGCGUGGGGAGCAAACAGGAUUAGAUACCCUGGUAGUCCACGCCGUAAACGAUGAGUGCUAAGUGUUAGGGGGUUUCCGCCCCUUAGUGCUGCAGCUAACGCAUUAAGCACUCCGCCUGGGGAGUACGGCCGCAAAGGCUGA
rnacentral:rRNA from 1 species